ensembl:misc_RNA Metazoa_SRP Metazoan signal recognition particle RNA
GCCGGGUGCAGUGGCGCGCGCCUGUAAUCCAAGCUGCUGGGAGGCUGAGGCUGGCGGAUCGCUUGAGUUCAGGGGUUCUGGGCUGCAGUGGACUAUGUCGAUCGGGUGUCCGUGCUAAGUUCGGUAUCGAUAUGGUGCUCCUGGGGGAGCUCGGGACCACCAGGUCGUCUAAGGAGGGGUGAACCGGCCCAGGUCGGAGACGGAGCAGGUCAAAGCCCCCGUGCCGAUCAGUAGUGGGGUCGCACCUGUGAAUAGACACUGCAGUGCAGCCUGAGCGAUACAGCGAGACUCAGUCUUUU